rnacentral:rRNA from 1 species
AUCCUGAAUUCGAAAGGGUUUGGAUUCAGGCCCGUCCGGAUUUCUGGGCCGCUUCUUCCUACCAGAUGGCGCUGGUCGCCCGCGGCGAUUUAUUUCGCUUGUGGUGUCGUUCCYGGCGAUCACUCGGUGGGGUUGCGCUUGCCUGAUUCUGGAGAGCCGCACUUCCUCCCUAGUAGAAACGUUGCGACCCGUUGGGUGCUGGUCUAAGGCCCGGGACGGCAGACCGUGUGACUGAUAGCUGAUGCCGAAGUCGCGCGGACGCCUGGUGACCCGGCUGGCUGCCCGACGGUAUGACCAGAGGAGACUAUCCGCUAAUAGAGAAACACUGUGGUUGUGAAGCGUCCGGCCUGGCGCCGUCAUGUGUGGGGAGUAAGGUGCAAACCCCGGGGUGUCCCGUGCUAUGCACGGCCCCUGCCCUGCUGCGUUGUCGGUUGUUGGUGAUUCGGACAGGAUUAGCACUCCCGUCUGCGACGCCCAUCUUCGGAUGGUCUCCCGACCCGUCUUGAA